rnacentral:lncRNA from 1 species
CCCAGCCCAGCUCUCUGUGGGCCGCUGGGUCCCCUCCCCAGGUUCUGGCAGAACACCCUUGAACAACUUAGCCUGAAAUAGCGUAAGAACUUCUUUCCCAUUUUUUCCAGGCUUUUGGAUGAAAUUAUAUUUUACAAAUGACUCAUUAUUAUAUUUAUAGCUUCUCUCCAAAUGAUUCAAAUCGUGGUUUGUCGCCUCCCUGUCUCUCAGUCCCCCCAGCUCGACAGGAAGAACCACUGCUGACUGCCCGGUCAGGUGUGGCUGCCUGAGGGGAGGGCUGGCACCUGAGCCUGACAGGCCCCGGCUCUGGGUCCUGGGUGGCCGGGCCUCCAGCGUGUCGUUGGGGCAGCGGGGUCUCCAGCCUAUCGCCGGUGCAGCAGCUGCUCUGGAGGGAGCACCUGCGUGUGUGUGUGUGUGUGUGUGUGUGUGUGUGGAAGGAGCACGGAGAGGGGCGGCACAGGGAGGCCUGUUCUGGGGAGGCUGUGACAGAGGGCGCCUUUGUGAGGGCCCGGAGGGGACAAUCCCCCCAUCGCCCACCCGGCCUCUGUGAGUGGAGGGCGACUGGUGGAGGAGGUGGCACUCGGACAUUGCAGGCUGUGUGGACGUCUGGCUCGUGACUCUUCUCCCUUCUUGUGAGGAACCACACGGUUCCUUCAGGCACGUGGGGUCUGGAGCUGCCGCCCUCUGGGGAGCUCCCAGCCCUGCCCCCGAGCUCCCCGGCAGGUGUGGUCAGGUGAGCGGGACAGCUGCUUGCUCCUGAACAGGCCGCUGUGGAGGGGAAGCCAGCAUGAGGCCCCAUCUGCGGGAGCAGUUUCUUGUUCCAGGUGCCCACGGGAUCAAAGUCCCCUUGGUCGGCCUUGCCUGCGUACUAAGCAAAGUUAGAAGCCCACAGAAUGGGAAAGAAGGACAUUUGGGAACUCCUAGUGACAUUCUCAGAGCCUCACAACAACCCUCUUCCCCUUGGGGUCCUUGGGCCUCCGGUGUGGUGCCCUGCAGACGCGUCUGGCUGGCUGUGGCGUGGGCUCUGGGGCUGCAGCGUGCACAGGCCACCGGGAGGCCCAGAGGAGGGAAGGGAGACAGGCCACCCGAAGGGAGCCGGCUUCUUGGGAAAUCUCUGCAUGCCCCUUCCUGUGCCCUGAGGGGAGAUUCGGCUCCUGUAUGUCACCGAUUCUGCAGCCCAGCAGAGGUGGGUGGCUGAGCCAGAGGCUGCGCCUGAUGAGGCUGAGAGCCUGAAGCUGUCCGUGGUCCAAGCCUGGGGAGCCUGGGGCCUUGGUUGUGUCCCCGGAUCGCCUGCCCGGGUCCCUUCGGGUCUGCUUCCAUUUCCCUUCUUGGCACUGCCUGAGCCAGAGGGAAAGAGGGAUUGUCACUGGAGAGAAGUGCUGCCUCUGAUGUCCUGGGGAGCCAGAGCUGGGGCUGGCCACCUUCUCACAGCGGCGGAACCGGCUGCUGGUCAGACUGAGGGGCAGCCAACACAGCCAGCUGAAGCCACCUUUGGACCACCUUCAUUUUGGGGGGUGGGGGCAUCCCUCUGUUUGGAGGAUUAUGCUGUGAUGAAACUGAUGGAGAAGGCGUGCUGGUGAACACUGGAAGCCUCUGGCCACAACUUCCUGACUUCGAAGGCCAGGCUGGAGCCCAAGAAGGCUUUGCAGCCCCCUGGGUGUGCUCAUUGUGUGAGCCAAGUGUUGUCUCUGGCGAUGAUGCCGACAGCCCGGCUCUCCUCGUGUUUCCGCUGCUGCGUGGAAUGUGAACCAGCUGAGCCGGACCAGCGCUGCCCCAGGGCAGGAGGCCAGGUGUGCUGUCUCUGGACGACAGGCAUGAGAAACAGCGACGCCUGAUGUCACCAGGGCCUGGGAACCACCCUGCCUGGGGGAUGCUGGCCCUCUCUGCUAAUGUGCUUGGGUCCUUAUUUCCUCUUUGAAUGUGUUUCUUGAAAAACAAACUCUUUGAGGUGAAAAAAGUUUAUGGUUUUUAGAACAAUGGUUUGAAAUAAAGCAAAUACUGGUAACAGGCUCUGCAGAUAGUUCUAUAAAGCUGUGAAAGAGCCACGAAUAGUUUAAUCACCCUGUACAAAGCAGCCACCUUCAGGAUUCAUUUCUUCAAGUGGUGUCAAUUCAAUUAAUCAUAAAAAAAUGAUUAAAAGAAUUUCAUACAACUUUGCUUUUAAAAUAAAAUCUUGGUAAACCAGCAUUCCAAUCUCAUGCUGUUAUUUAUUUUUUCCACUGAUUUAUCUAUUUAUUUACUUGCAUUAUAAAGGUAAUACUAAUGGUAAAAACAGAAAUGCAAAUCAUUCUGCCGGGUAUAAAAUGAAAAGUAGAAAUCCCCUCUUAUAAGUUGUUCUCGUUUCCCUGAGAUGAUCAAAGUUAAUGGUUUCUUGUGACGCAGAAAUUUUGUUAUAUAUGUGUGUGUGUAUAUACAUCUAAUCCAAUAUUUUUCCACAAAUGGUCUAGUCCUAUGAUU